GAGGGUGCAAUUCGGAUUUAGGAGCCGUUGCUGCGGACGGAGAGACAGGGACGUGAGCGGACAUUGAG